AUUGAACGCUGGCGGCAGGCCUAACACAUGCAAGUCGAACGAGUGGCGGACGGGUGAGUAAUGUCUGGGAAACCGCCUGAUGGAGGGGGAUAACUACUGGAAACGGUAGCUAAUACCGCAUACCAUCGGAUGUGCCCAGAUGGGAUUGGCUAGUAGGUGGGGUAAAGGCUAACCUAGGCGACGAAGCCUAGCUGGUCGGAGAGGAUGGCCAGCGGCACUGGAACUGGGCCACGGUCCUGGCUCCUGCGGGAGGCAGCAGUGGCGAAUAUUGCACAGUGGGCGCAAGCCUGGUGCAGCCAGGCCGCGUGUAUGGAGAAGGCCUUCGGGUUGUGAAGUACUUUCUGCGGGGAGGCGUUACCCGCAGAAGAAGCACCGGCUAACUCCGUGCCAGCAGCCGCGGUAAUAC
rnacentral:rRNA from 1 species